UUCACCAACCAACAUCAAAGAAUAUUAUGUUUGGACAAGGCUGGUCUUAGACUCAGCCUUAGCCUUAGGCAUGGUGACUCUUUAAUGGCACCAGAUUAGAAAUAAGAUUAAAAGUACCAAUAAGCUUGAAGAAAAGUUGUUGAAUUCUUCACUGCUAACCUGGUGACGGACUGUGGUACCUGAGUCUGUGCUGGAUCGGAAGACUAAGGUCCUCAUAUGCAGGCUAACGCGAUCCAUCACUGCUGUGAGGACGACGGCGAAUGCUGGAGACACAGAAGUACAUUCAGACUAAUUUGCUGAAGAGGAAACAAUUACAAACAGAAGUAAAAUGAACUGCCAGAUCCACUGAACUGAGAUAGAAGAAUGUCAACAUUGGAACAAUGGAGAGGAUGAGAAGAGGGAGAAAUGGGGUGAGUGGGGACAGUGAGUCUGCUAGUUUGCAUUUGUUUCAAGUCACACACUCUUGGAAGCUGACCAAGUUGCCAAAGAAAAAAUUAGGUCAUUUCUUUCAGUUGCUUCUGUUAGAUUUUUAAUUCAAUAAAACGUAAUCAUAUUCAUGACUAAAAAUAUGGCAAAUGUAAUACAGAGUCCAUUUUGGAAUGAAAGUUAUAAAUUUCAUCUUCUAAAGAUUAAAAAUGCAUUUUUGAUCAAGAUAAAAAGUUUACAGUCUGCUGUAAAAUAUCCUGCACUGAAAUAUUCAUGUAGAUGUUGAUUAUUCUGAGCUAUUUUGUUCUAAGGUCAGUAGUACUUAUUCCUGUGGGUUGUUAAAGUUCAUAAGAAAGUCUAUAGUUCUUCUAAAGUGUGGCAUUUUUCUCAAAAACUUAAAAAUCAACUAAGAGUUUACACUCUGAUUUCACAAUGUCAAAUCUAUUUACCCAGAGUAUGCUAAGGUCACUGUCAAAAUGAUCAAUCACCUAGUUCUUCUUGCAGGGUUCUUCCCAUCUUGCCACCUAUUCUGGAAUUUUAUACAUAGGCAUUGCUACCAAUGAGGCUUUUUGUAUAGCAAACAUACACACACCCCAAACAAAAACUCCAGUUAGCUUUUAGAGAAAAGGGGUGUCUGAAAGGUCACUGUUAGUUCACAACACUGCUGGGAAAGCUGGAGACCAGGCCCAGCAAAUAAGAUAGAGGGCUGCUGAGUGACGACUCCACCACAUGGGAGCCCAGUU